CCUUCAUAUCGCUGACUAUAUACUGCACAGUCAGCAGAUUUUAUUACCCAAAACUAUAGGAAAGCGGGGUGACAACCAAUAUGGCCACCAAUCCAGUUCACACAGAGGUUGUCACCCAGCUUUCCCAGGUGACUACCUGCCUAGGAGUGAUAUAGGAGAAUUUUUAUUACA